GUGCUCGCUUCGGCAGCACAUAUAUUAAAAUUGGAACGAUACAGAGAAGAUUAUGCCCCCGGAUCUCCAUGUUCCUGCAGCUACUUUAGAAUUGCACCCUUUAUUU